rnacentral:rRNA from 1 species
AUACGUAGGUGACAAGCGUUAUCCGGAUUUACUGGGCGUAAAGGGCGUGUAGGCGGUCUUGCAAGUCAGAAGUGAAAUUCCUGAGCUCAACUCGGGCGCUGCUUCUGAAACUGCAGGACUUGAGUGCUGGAGGGGAUAGCGGAAUUCCUAGUGGAGCGGUAAAAUGCGCAGAUAUUAGGAAGAACACCGGUGGCGAAGGCGACUUACUGGGCCGUAACUGACGCUGAGGCGCGAAAGCGUGGGGAGCGAACAGGAUUAGAUACCCUGGUAGUCCACGCGGUAAACGAUGAAUGCUAGGUGUUGCGGGUAUCGACCCCUGCAGUGCCGGAGUAAACACAAUAAGCAUUCCGCCUGGGGAGUACGGCCGCAAGGUUGAAACUCAAAUGAAUUGACGGGG